rnacentral:rRNA from 1 species
GUGGCGGCUGCUUACCUGCAAGUCGAACGAUGAAGCCAGCUUGCUGGUGGAUUAGUGGCGAACGGGUGAGUAACACGUGAGUAAUCUGCCCUUCACUUCGGGAUAAGCCUUGGAAACGGGGUCUAAUACCGGAUAGUCACCUCGUGCCGCAUGGUGUGGGGUGGAAAGAUUUAUUGGUGGGGGAUGGGCUCGCGGCCUAUCAGCUUGUUGGUGGGGUAAUGGCCUACCAAGGCGACGACGGGUAGCCGGCCUGAGAGGGCGACCGGCCACACUGGGACUGAGACACGGCCCAGACUCCUACGGGAGGCAGCAGUGGGGAAUAUUGCACAAUGGGCGCAAGCCUGAUGCAGCGACGCCGCGUGAGGGAUGACGGCCUUCGGGUUGUAAACCUCUUUCAGCAGGGAAGAAGCGCAAGUGACGGUACCUGCAGAAGAAGCACCGGCUAACUACGUGCCAGCAGCCGCGGUAAUACGUAGGGUGCAAGCGUUGUCCGGAAUUAUUGGGCGUAAAGAGCUCGUAGGUGGUUUGUCGCGUCUGCUGUGAAAAUCCAACGCUCAACGUUGGACGUGCAGUGGGUACGGGCAGACUAGAGUGCAGUAGGGGAGUCUGGAAUUCCUGGUGUAGCCGGUGAAAUGCGCAGAUAUCAGGAGGAACACCGGUGGCCGAAGGCGGGACUCUGGGCUGUUACUGACGCUGAGGAGCGAAAGCAUGGGGAGCGAACAGGAUUAGAUACCCUGGUAGUCCAUGCCGUAAACGUUGGGCACUAGGUGUGGGCCGCAUUCCACGUGGUCCGUGCCGCAGCUAACGCAUUAAGUGCCCCGCCUGGGGAGUACGGCCGCAAGGCUAAAACUCAAAGGAAUUGACGGGGGCCCGCACAAGCGGCGGAGCAUGCGGAUUAAUUCGAUGCAACGCGAAGAACCUUACCAAGGCUUGACAUAUACCGGUAACGUGCAGAGAUGUACGCCCCUUCGGGUCGGUAUACAGGUGGUGCAUGGUUGUCGUCAGCUCGUGUCGUGAGAUGUUGGGUUAAGUCCCGCAACGAGCGCAACCCUCGUUCUAUGUUGCCAGCGGGUUAUGCCGGGAACUCAUAGGAGACUGCCGGGGUCAACUCGGAGGAAGGUGGGGAUGACGUCAAAUCAUCAUGCCCUUUAUGUCUUGGGCUUCACGCAUGCUACAAUGGCCGGUACAAAGGGUUGCGAUGCCGUGAGGCGGAGCGAAUCCCAGAAAGCCGGUCUCAGUUCGGAUCGUAGUCUGCAACUCGACUACGUGAAGUCGGAGUCGCUAGUAAUCGCAGAUCAGCAACGCUGCGGUGAAUACGUUCCCGGGCCUUGUACACACCGCCCGUCAAGUCACGAAAGUCGGUAACACCCGAAGCCGGUGGCCUAACCCCCUUGUGGGGAGGGAGC